rnacentral:lncRNA from 1 species
GUCUGAGUCUACUGACAAAUAUACCACAUCCCCAGAGUAACUUGGAGUCUCUUAAAAUUGUCUUGCUGGCAUCUAGCGGAGAUUGUCCCCACAGCAUGUUCCUUAUGACGGAUGCCUGGGUCAGAACAUGUAAUACUUCCUUUUUAUAAGCACAAAGAUUCUGAGAAGCACUGCCCCUCCCACGUGUCACACUCUGGGGAGAGAUUAUUGGAAUGCCUCUUGGAUCAGGUAUCUUUGGUGAUCAUUCCACCUAGUUAAGAUGAAGCUGGUGAUAGCCUUUGGCUUGUUUCAGAUAACGUAACCAGAUUUUCCAGUGACUUGUGAAUUAACAGGCUAAAAACUAGUUUUCAGUUUCUGGAGAAGGGGUUCCCAAUCUCAUUUGAGGCUAUUGGAGGAAAAAUCCCUUCAGAAAAUAAAGCAUGACAGUAAGAUUUUAGUAUGCAGGAAGUAAAUUCAGUUCCUUUGGAGAUCA